rnacentral:tRNA from 2 species
CGGAAGGUAGCAUAGUCAGGCUAAUGCAUCUGUUUUGGGAACAGAAGAUCAAAGGUUCAAAUCCUUUUCUUCCGA